GUGACAGAAGAGAGUGAGCACACAUGGUGGUUUUCUUGCAUGGUGCAUAUAUAAAGCUAGGGAGAGUCCAUGCUUGAGGCUAUGCGUGCUCACUUCUCUCUCUGUCAC
rnacentral:pre_miRNA from 1 species